rnacentral:lncRNA from 1 species
CAUGUAGAAAAAGACUUGCAUUAGACCUAGGAUGCAUUAAAACUCAUGGUAAUGCACACAAAUGCAUCAUGCACAGUGUACCAGAAAGAGAGUCCUAAGACUCUUUUUGCAGUCAAUGUUCUUUUCAAGUCCAAAAUCUAAGAAUAUGCUUGAUGUUCAUGCAUAAUUUUCAGAUUAUAAAAAGGAACUGGCUGCAUCCCCUACUCAUCCAUGACCAACAAGAUGACUCACUAAAGUAAUGAAACCAAGAGUUUGACAAUCUAUCUUGGUCUGUCUAGCUAUCAUCAAUAAGAAAGCAUAACAUAGUAUCAGUAAUAUAUGAGGAAAAGCCACCCCAAAAAUCAGGAACAAGCUUGCAGGUUUUAUAGUCCUCUUGCAUAUAUACAUAUAUAUCUAUAUAUAUCCUAUAACUCCACCAAUGAAUUUGCAAGUAAGUUGCAUACAUUGAACCUGCAUAUACAUGAACCCCAACUGCGCUGUAUUUGUCAUUUAUUGUCCUUGUAGAUGCAUAUAGCUGGCUGUAUAGACUAAUAAUAGUACAUUUGUUCCAGUACUUUCUCUUUGAGUAAAAAUCUGUGUCCUGUAUGCUGAAAUUUAUAACCAAAAACAAUGGGAAAACAGUAGCCUGGUGGGAUGGAUGGUCUAUUUGCCAUCUGAGUAACUGACAUGGUUCCAGUAGUCGUGGAUCUUUUAUCUUCAGUAAUAGUAAAUCAAAGAUAGGAAUAUAGUUCCUAAAAUGUAUAUACAGCUUUAAUAGGUUGGAGGUGCCUCUGGUGCAACACACCUCACUUUGUAAUCAUAUAUAGAUUGGAAAAAAUAUUACUUGUUCACUGUAUGCACGAGUAGCUGGGCCAAGUUGUGGCUCUUGUCUGGGAAAUGGAUGCAUUCAGAUCAGCAUGCAACACCUGUAGGUGUCACCUAGAAGUCAAAUGGUGGAGGGAGGGGAUGCUAGGUUUUUGCCUGAUUUGGGCUUUCUAAACCAUAAGAUUGAACAACUAGGCACACAGUGAUCCAUCCUAAUUUAUACAAACAAAGCAUGAAGAUCUCCAACAUAAGAUAUGGCUCCUGAGUAAAAGUCAAUUAGGUGAAUCGAUGACAUAAAUGGUAUGAACUCUUCCUAGAAAACAGGGCCAAAACUUCACAUUUAAAGGAAGGGGGAAAAAAAGAUACCUGGAGCCGAAUCCAAGCAUGGUGAACUUCACAAUGGAGGGAGCCUAGGGUGGAGAGCGGAGACACACCUCUAGCUUUGAGACUCACCUCUAAAGUUCUCAUUUAUAGUAGUAUCUAUUAGACUGGAAUUUUCAUGUGCAUCUUGUGAGAGUUUUAGCAAGUACUAAGACCAUAGGAUGCAGCCAUGUAGUGCCGGUUCUUAUUUUAAAAUCCAACCCAUACAGCCACAUAUGCAGAGUGGUCUGCUGACUGCACUCUGCUGGGCGACCAUGUAUGCAGAUGUUUGCAUAGUGGAUAUUCAGGCGCCGACAUGGACCUAAGCAGCUAAGGCCCUAUGCUAUUAGCUGCAUCUUUCUUUCUCCUCCUCCUCCUCCUCUCUCUCUCUCUCACUCACUCACUUUCUUCAUCUAAUAAUUUGUAGAUUUCUUUGUUGUAUUUGACUUGAAAGGUUUCAUUAUUUUUUAUAUUGACAUGCUGUAGAUUACUAAAAUAUGCUCUCAAAUAAGUGUGAAAGUGUAUACUUAAUUUUUUCUGAAUGUUCACUGAUUUCUUUCUAUUUUUAUCUAGUUUAAUAAAUAUUUAUAUUUUUUAAUGUUUUCAUAAAAUAAUAACCAUAUAUGUGCCUGUUAUGCAGCAGCAUACCACAUAUGCGCACAANNNNNNNNNNNNNNNNNNNNNNNNNNNNNNNNNNNNNNNNNNNNNNNNNNNNNNNNNNNNNNNNNNNNNNNNNNNNNNNAUGUGUAGGUUGUUUCAUACCACCUUAGUUACGUAUCAUUACUUUAUCCUCUAGUUGCAAAACUUUUUUUUCUAAGCCAUAACAACCAACUCAAAGGAACACAUGUAAAAGAGAGAAGUUUCCUAUCAAUGUUGUUUCAUUAAGUAAAUUUAUCAAGUUAAAACUAUCUUUCUAUCAUAUAAAAUAGAAUUUUCAUGACCUAGUACCUGCCUAUUGGGCCAACAAGGUCGACGUAUGCAGCUGUUCACAUAGUGGAUAUUCAAAUGCCGACAUGGACCCAAGCAGCUAAGGCCUUAUGCUAAUAGCUGCAUCUUUCUUUCUCCUCCUCCUCCUCCUCCUCCUUUCUCUCUCUCUCACUCUUCAUCUAAUAAUUUGUAGAUUUUCUUCGUUGUAUUUGACUUAAAAGGUUUCAUUAUUUUUUAUAUUGACAUGCUGUAGAUUACUAAAAUAUGCUCUCAAAUAAGUGUGAAAGUGUACACUUAAUUCUUUUCUGAAUGUUGACCGAUUUCUUUCUAAUUUAUCUAGUUCAAUACACAUUUAUAUUUUUUAAUGUUUUCAUAAAAUAAUAACCAUAUAUGUGCCUGUUAUGCAGCAGCAUACCACAUAGGCGCACUAUGCAAUACCCAGCCACUCACUCACCAUGACUGCUUUCCAAAACCUUGUUACUAGGGCAUUAUGCUGACUAAUAGGAUAUUUGUGUAGGUUGUUUCCCUAGAUGCAUAUACAUGCAUACUUACAUGGUCAUACCGCCUUAGUUACUUAUCAUUACUUUAUCCUCUAGUUGCAAAACUUUUUUUUCUGUGCCAUAACAACCAACUCAAAGGAGCAGCGGCUUUAGACUCAAAAGCAUGCUCGUCUUCGAGGUGGGAACAUAGCGACGUGAUGUCGUGAUCCUCGUAGCAGUACGGGCAGGGAAAAUCCAAGCGGACCUCCUCUUCCAUCUCGACGUCAUCGAUGCCCAGCCGAUCUGAUUGGGGGUUUUGGGGCUGCUGAAGCAAGUAAUGCCUCUUGGCGGCUGCGAGACGGGAGAUCCAUAGAUCGGAAUCCAUCGAUCGGAGGCCGAAGAAGAUAGGAUUGCAGGGCUACCGGCUCCCAAAUCCACCCCAAAGGAAGGGUUUCUUCCCCCCGAUUUUCUCCUCUCUCCGUCUUCUAAUCCAGAUUUUUAACCUAAAUUCCUCGAAUUCGAUGGAUUUCCGAUCGACCCGAGACAAAUUUUUCUUGCAACGGAGAGGGAGAAGUGAGAGGGGGGCGACAGAGGGCGAGGAAGAGCCCUGUAAAAGAGAGAAGUUUCCUAUCAAUGUUGUUUCAUUAAGUAAAUUUAUCAAGUUAAACUAUUUUUUUAUCACAUAAAAUAGAAUUUUCAUGACCUAGUACCUGCCUAAAAUGUCUAUGAUUCGGUACUAGGCUCGUUAAUGAUUUUCUGUCUCUUUUUGAUAACAAAGCUAGCUUGAUCCUAAAGUUUCAAAACCAAUUAACAUGUUGUAUAGAUGCAGAAGAAAACUAUUUGUAUAGGGGUCCAACUUCAAAUCUAUAGCAUCUAUACCUACACAUUCAAUGAAAAAAAUGGAGUAUCAACCAACAUUUUCUAUAUCUAUGCUCAUUCUGGCCUUCUUUUUUGAGAACAAAAUCUGGACAGAAAGCAAACAACCACUAAUUUUUUUCUAUCACUAGUUUUAGGACUACCAAUCUUUAAAGCGAACAUUUUCUUUCUACUAGAAUAACCGCAACAAUAUCUUCCUUGCAGAACAAAAGUAAUAUUCUCGAUGAGAAGCAUUAGAAAGAAGUGAAAUGAAUACACCAAUAAUAUUCAACAUCAAAGAGAGGAAAAGUUUGAACAUUACCUUGAUUUCCAAGUCUGCAAAGGUGUUGCUUGUUUUAUACAAGCAUCCUUUGCAGAGGAGAUGGAAGAUUUUGAAGUUUCUUCAGUUUCAGAUGGUGGAAAAUUUAGGACAAAUGAUGAAAGAAAUGAAUCAGCCGAAGUAUUUGAUGCACUGUUGUUGCUAGACCGAUAGGCCCCAUUUCCCAAAAGUAAUUGCAUAUGAGCCUCUCGAAGGUCUCUUCCCAGCAUAGAAAGUGUCUGGCUGCUGGGAAUAGCAAAUCUGCGUAAUCGUCGUCGUCUCUGCAAGUGAUCCUAGUUAAGGAGAAAAGUGAUAAUAUCUUAUUUUAUGUUUUAACAAUUUACAAUUCACUUGCUGCAAGAGUAUAUCAUAGGAAUAAACCCAACACAAUUUGUAGAGGAAAAGGAUAUCUUGAAAAAGUGCCCAUGUUGAAUUGUUAUAUGAUUUAGCAUGUCUCUUGCAACCUUAACAGAGCAGAUGGGGCAGACCUGAAACAAGAAGAAAAGGAAAAGACCUACAUCAUGAACAUGAGCUGCAAUAUUAUUGUUCACUGUUACCAAUAAAACCCAGUCAGUCAGUUCCAUCAGUUUGUGCAUAUGGUCAAUGAGCAUUGGUGAGAAUAUUAUUCUUUAUGGAGAUCAGCAUGGAUGGACACAUCUAAAAACCUGACAAAGAGAUAAAAAAUCUAAAUACAGUAUAACUCCCAGCAUCAUCUAAUACUCUGGUAAUAUUUAUUCUGGCCAUAGGUCACAAACUUUUCCAAAAAUAAAGAAAUAUUUACUAUUAAAUUUAUAUUAUCAACAACUAUUAAAGUAAAACAAUUGUCAUCAACAACUACAUUCACUUCUAUCCCAUGUUACCUGGAAAAACAAGAAGAAACAGUCAUAAAUUUAACACCAAAUCCCAAAGCACCAGGUUAACAAGAAAAGCUCAAACCUCUUCCGCAAUGAGUAUAGUCAGCAGCCUCAGCCAAAAAAAAAAGAAAGAAAGAAAAGGCGGGCAGGCGGGGGGGGGGGGGCAACAAUCUUCAUUUUCUUCGUUUAUGGUGUUCUUGGAAUCCAAGAUCGAACAAGAUAGAAGACUUAAACAGGAUAUCAUCAGGUGAAGAAUAUUUCUUGAAGAAAAUUCUAGCAUUCCAUUCCCACCAUACCUCCCAAAUAAGUGCUGAUAUAGCUGCAUCCCAGGCACCAUUGCCCUUAAAUUUUCAUAUGUUUCUUUCUUCAAAUGGUCGACACAAAUCUAAUAGAACCUGACCUCCUAAAAUAAGAAGUUUCUUGUAGUCGCAUACAAAUUUUCUUCACAAACUAGUAUGCCAAGAAAAGAUGAACAACAUUCACCAGGCAUAUGAAACAUAAAGCACAUUUAUCACCUUCUGCUCACUUCCUCUUGAUCAUAUUCUCUUUUUGUAUAAAUCUUAUUUUUGAGUGCGAACGAACAAAAUGCCUUGACUUUGGUUUCCAAAUUUGAUCAAUAUAGCCUCCAAGAAUAUCCUCAUUAUUAAGAAAACUUUACAAGGCCUGACCGACGGCUAGAUCCUGGAUCAGGCCUGAAGACCAAGCCCGAAAUUAAGCUCGAAGUCGACCAAGAUCUAAGUCCAAACUUGGCCCAAAAGGUGGCUACACAACCAUUGUAACAACCCAGGACCUCAUCCAAAAUAGCUAGCCGGAAGAUAUUAUUUGGGUUCCUUGUUUCUGUAUAAGUACCCAAGAUCUACCCAGUGAAUAACCGAUGUGGGACUAAACAUAUGCCAGCACGGGUCCUCACAUACUCCCCCUAUUCAAGCCCUGACGUUCUCGUCAAGCUAAAGGUUCAAAAAUAUCACAAACACCACGAUCGGCCCGUGGUCAGUCCCAAUGGAUCCAUGCUGCAGUGUUUCCUAGUCUACAUAGGUUAUGGGUCGGGUCCGCUCUGAUACCAUUUAUAACAACCCAGAACCUCACCCAAAAUNNNNNNNNNNNNNNNNNNNNNNNNNNNNNNNNNNNNNNNNNNNNNNNNNNNNNNNNNNNNNNNNNNNNNNNNNNNNNNNNNNNNNNNNNNNNNNNNNNNNNNNNNNNNNNNNNNNNNNNNNNNNNNNNNNNNNNNNNNNNNNNNNNNNNNNNNNNNNNNNNNNNNNNNNNNNNNNNNNNNNNNNNNNNNNNNNNNNNNNNNNNNNNNNNNNNNNNNNNNNNNNNNNNNNNNNNNNNNNNNNNNNNNNNNNNNNNNNNNNNNNNNNNNNNNNNNNNNNNNNNNNNNNNNNNNNNNNNNNNNNNNNNNNNNNNNNNNNNNNNNNNNNNNNNNNNNNNNNNNNNNNNNNNNNNNNNNNNNNNNNNNNNNNNNNNNNNNNNNNNNNNNNNNNNNCCGCUCUGAUACCAUUUGUAACAAUCCAGGACCUCACCCAAAAUGACUAGCCGAAAAGUAUUAUUUGAAUUUCUUGAUCUUGUAUAAGUACCCAAAAUCUACCCAGCGAAUAACCGAUGUGAGACUAAACACACACCCGCACGGGUCUUCACAACCAUUGGCUGCACUUGAGGGCCUUAUUACAUGGAACAAAGAUGGUGACAUUGUGGCAGCCUACGACAUCCUCAAGGGUCCAGACGAGAAGAGCAAUGAAAAUGGAGUUGGAGUUGAUCUGACCGGAGAAUGGCCAUGUGGAACGAGAGACUGCAGUCACCAACAGUGCGGAGGGGAUGCCCAGGUGGAGAUUAGUAGAACAGAAACUAGAACAUGGUUUAGGCUAAUAAGGCUAACAAUCAUUAAUCGGGCCAACUCGGGUCGGCCUAGUCUGUUGGCCCAAAGGGGCUAAUUCAGGCAGCCUUAUUGGAUUUUGGUUGGGACCGUGCUUGGGCUCAAGUUUGGAAAAAAAAAUUCUUCAAGCCUAAGCUUGGCACAAAUCCCAAAAAAAAUCGGGCCAGGCUUGAGCAAGGGUGUGGCUUGGCCCGAUUCUAACCCUAUUUCUUAACUACCACUUCUUCAAAUCUCACCAAAUACAACCUUAAAAAAUGUGAAAGAUUCUAUAGGUCAAUCUAUAAUUCUUGAGAUAGAAAUCCAAAACUAAUAUUCCCAUUACCUCUACCCCAUGGAGAGGCAACUGAAGCAUCUCCAUCCGAGCCAAACUAAAUAAUCUCGGAAAUUUAAGAGUCAGCGCACUCUCUCCGAUCCAAGUAACCUACCAGAACAAUAUGAGUUGCCGGUUCCCAACACUGAUAUCAGUUCGUGCUUGAAAACAUUACCAAAUUCAGUAUCAUUCCUCCAAAACAUCCGACUUGAAUCCUUCAAUCUAAAAGAAUCCAUUUUCAAUCUCAGGUUAUCUGUCUGAUGCCUCUGAUCAGUUCAACGCAACAUUCGCCUGAGAAUUCAUUACUCUCCAGCACAAUGUUCCUAAUAAAUUCAUAUUAAGCUCCCUAAAAUUGCAUACGUCCAAACUCCUACAUGCCACCAUCCAGUCAACCAAAUUGUAUCCACCCUUUCUCUUUAUUCACUCCUUUCUGCAGGAAAUUCCUUCUGACUCUGUUUAGUACCCAAUAUGGUAACCAGUAUAUUGACAUGACCUCAAAACUGUAUUUACCAAAGUAGGCCUUCCAUCCAAAGAUAAAAAAUCUGCCUCUCCUUGCUGACAGACUCUCUCGACCUUCGUUAUGAAGGAAUACUGAUCUUCUUUUCUGAAAUCACAAUCCUUCAAAGGCAGACCCAAAUAUUAAAUGGAGAAUUUUCUCAACCUUACAAUUCAAUAGACUCACACAAUACUAUGAAUCACCCAAAACUAUAAGAGAGCUUUUGUGAAAAUUGAUUUUUUAAAGCCAACGAAUGUUGGCUCAGUUGGUUGGCACCUCUCCCCUAAGGGCUUGCCCUUGGAGGAGGUCCAGGAUUCAAAUCCUAGGUAUUGGUUGAAAAUUUUUAAAGAAUAUAUAUUUAAAACUGAAAGUCCUUUAAAAUAGUGAAAUACCCAAUUUAAACUCUGACAUGAUUCUAAUCUGCCUUGCAGAAAAAAUGUGAAUCUUUGGCAAACUGUAGAUUAAUCAGUCGUGUCUCAAACUGAAUUAGCCCUCAAACCUGAAAAAAGCCCUAAAUCCCAUUGCAGGUCAUUCCGCUCAAAACCAUCAAAGCAUCAACCAUUAAAACAAAUAAAAGAGGAGAUAAGGAAUGCCUGCCUCUUAAUCCCUUGCCACAUUUAAUUUUACACGAGUUCUCCAAUCUAAAUUAACCAGUUCAGCUAAUUUCCAGUGAAAGUAAAUUCUUUAUUCAUCCUAUCCACUUAUUGCCAAACUCUCAGUCUUAUUACCUUCAACAAAUAAUCCCAAUCAACACUGUCAUAAAACUUCUCAAACUUGAAUGGUAAUCCUACCUCUUUGUUCUUCUUGAACUAGUACCCAUUUAAUGAGCACAAGCCAUGCAAUACAGAAUCAUUCUGUUUCUAAGAAAGUAUAUUGGGAACCGUCAAUCAGAUCCCCAACGACACUUCUCAAUUUGUUAACAAGAACUUUAGUUGCAAUCUUGUGUAAGUCUUGUUAAACAAACUAAUAGGUCUGAAGUCUUCUGCUCUUUAUGCAUCUUCCACUUCUAUAUGUACAAUGAUGAAAGGCAGGUUACAAACACUUAAGCAGUUGACGUUUGGUACAGUCGAAUAAAUACCGAAUUUAUUUAACAUCCAAAUCCGCGUGAGUUAUUGGCCCCAUUUAUAUAACAAAAAGUUGAAUGCUCUUUGGUUUGUGACAAAUUUUAGUGCUCAGAAUUGCAAGGGAAGUUCAAAGCAAUAUGCUUGUUAAUGACUUUCUAUAAAGGGGAAGCUUUGUGUACGUCUGGACCAUCUCAUGUUCAGUACCCUUCAUGUCAAGCAAGAGCCACAGGAGUUAAUUUAGAUUUUUUAUUAUAUUGGAUUCAUUUAUUUAUAUAAGUAGUAUAUACUGCAAUUAUCUGUUAUGCUCAUCUUUUGGUCCAUUAUUUGUUAAACUAUAUUUGUAUAGCUGAUGAGCGCAAAACAUUGAUAAUUAACAGAAGUUUAAACAAUUUAACCCAAUCAAUAUGUAAUUAACCAUGACUUGAAGAUGCCAAUAUAAACAUGUUAUUUGCAAUCACAGCAAUCAUUUAACGGAAAUCCAGUGCACAUCCAUAAAUCCCUAAAAGGACUUGAAUACUGGAAAAAAGAAAUAUUUUUGAGGUGAUUGAAGAAUAGUUUCAUAACAAACUACAUCCUUUCAAAAUUAUGAUAUGUAUCAAUAACGAUACGUUGGAUUUCAUAAUAUCUAAUGAGCAUCUUUUCAAGCUUCAUUAUACAUUUCUAAGCCCCUAUACUGAUGUCUGAGAGUUUAAUGCUGGCAGAUAACCUCAUGGAUGGCAUAAGUAGAUCAAAAUGAUAAGAUUUUUCUAGUCAAGAUUGCAACUUCAGAUGCAUUAUGCGACAAGGGGCUUGUGAGAUACUAGAAUAUACCUAUCUGUGUUUACCAACGGUGCCAACGAUCCAUCUAAGCACAAACUUCAUCUUAUGAAAAGAAAACAAUUUCUUUCAAUGUAAGCGUCAUCCCAUGGUCAAGUGCUUCUUGCAUUGCAUAAAAAUAACCUUUCCACCUAGCAUUAUUACCAGGACUUGCUCCUGACACUAGACAACAAUAAAAUGAAUGACAAUUGUUGGGAGAUCUUUUCCAGCUGACAAUACGUGUCUAUAUUUACAACAACAACCACCAUACCAUGCCAUGAAUAGGGAGUGGUAAAGGGCAUAUCUCAGCCGGCAGACAACAAAACUGUUAGAUGGAUUUCCCAUUCAGGAUUGUUGUCCAACAUGAAACUGAUACAUGUUGGUUUAUUACGUCCACAUUCUAACAAGAAAAUACCGUGACACAUUUACAGCACUAAAAUAAUCGUUUUUGCAUGGGUUUGGCUUUAAGCCUUUAACAAUCAAACAAGAAAGGAAGUAGGCAAAAGAAUAAAAGCAAAAAAGAUUGUUCUGUGGUCAGUGACCCAAACAACCAAGUUUUCUUUUCUUUUCUUUUCCCUUGUCUGAAAAACGUGCGACUAAUUAUGGUCGCUAACAACCACCAACACGAAGCUAAUUUAUCCAAAACGAAGAACAAAUAAAUCGACCAAAGAUAAGGGUUUUGAUUCUCACAGCGGCUUUAGACUCAAAAGCAUGCUCGUCUUCGAGGUGGGAACAUAGCGACGUGAUGUCGUGAUCCUCGUAGCAGUACGGGCAGGGAAAAUCCAAGCGGACCUCCUCUUCCAUCUCGACGUCAUCGAUGCCCAGC